rnacentral:rRNA from 1 species
UACGUAGGGUGCAGGCGUUAAUCGGAAUUACUGGGCGUAAAGCGUGCGCAGGCGGCUCUUUAAGUCAGAUGUGAAAGCCCCGGGCUUAACCUGGGAAUUGCGUUUGAAACUGGAGAGCUGGAGUGUGGAAGAGGGGGGGUGGAAUUCCAGGUGUAGCAGUGAAAUGCGCAGAUAUCAGGAGGAACACCGGUGGCGAAGGCGGAUCUCUGGGCCGUAACUGACGCUGAGGAGCGAAAGCAUGGGUAGCGAACAGG